rnacentral:rRNA from 1 species
UACGAAGGGGGCUAGCGUUGCUCGGAAUCACUGGGCGUAAAGGGUGCGUAGGCGGGUCUUUAAGUCAGGGGUGAAAUCCCGGAGCUCAACUUCGGAACUGCCUUUGAUACAGCACGUCUUGAGUCCGGAAGAGGUGGGUGGAAUUCCUAGUGUAGAGGUGAAAUUCGUAGAUAUUAGGAAGAACACCGGUGGCGAAGGCGGCCUGCUGGGCAGUUGGCUGACACUGAGGCGCGACAGCGUGGGGAGCAAACAGG